CCUCGCCGCCGCCAGCCAAUCGGGGCAGGAGGCGGAGUCUCUCCUAGAGGGGGGCGUGGCGGCGGAACCCGGAAGCUUCGGGACAGGCUCCAGGUCUGGACCCGCGGCUCCUGUCCCGCAGGCGGGUGCUCAGAGGUGGCUGGGUCCGAGUGUGCAUCCAGGAACCAGCAUCCUCGGGAAGAGGCUGACGACUACCUUCCUGGGUGUAGUCGAGAUCCAGCUCCCGACAGAGUGGGGAGAGUGCACCCUAAGGAGAGUUGAAGGAACAACUAGGGUGCCCAAAAUUCUGGGUGCUGAAGAUAAAGACAGAGAAUGAGGUCUGGGACCAGUCGGCGACGCACCUGGUUAAACAGACAAUUACAACAGACACACUACAGUGUACAAGGACCUGGGUUUGAACCUCUGCUCCUUCAUCUGCAGGAUCAGUGAAGCAGAGCUACAGGUGUUUCUCUGUCUCUCUCCCUCUCUUAUCAACUCCUUCCCUCUCAAUUUCUCUGUUUCCAUUCAAUGAAUAAAUAAAAUAUUUUAAAAAGAACA